UUGUGAAAGUGGAUAAACAAAAAGACAAAAUCAUAACAAUUAAAUUAACGCAACCAAACACAUUAGACAUCAUUUAAACAAAUUAAAAUACUAGACCCCAACACUGUAACAAACAAUCAACUAACACAGUNAAAUUAAUUUAAAUGCAACACUAAAUGAAAAAGAUAAAAUAAAACUACGACUUGAAUAAAGACAAAAUAAAUUGCAAGCUCCUUCCAUUAAUGCAUUCCAAUACAUUACUAUAAAAAUAAAAAAGAAAAAAAGAAAUCCUUGGAUCAAGCAUUAAGACAAUAAAAUAAAGACAUUAAAAAUGUGCCUUCC
rnacentral:lncRNA from 1 species